rnacentral:rRNA from 1 species
CCUACGGGAGGCAGCAGUGGGGAAUAUUGGACAAUGGGCGAAAGCCUGAUCCAGCAAUGCCGCGUGAGUGAUGAAGGCCUUAGGGUUGUAAAGCUCUUUUACCAGGGAUGAUAAUGACAGUACCUGGAGAAUAAGCUCCGGCUAACUCCGUGCCAGCAGCCGCGGUAAUACGGAGGGAGCUAGCGUUGUUCGGAAUUACUGGGCGUAAAGCGUACGUAGGCGGUUAUUCAAGUCAGAGGUGAAAGCCUGGAGCUCAACUCCAGAACUGCCUUUGAAACUAGAUAGCUAGAAUCUUGGAGAGGUGAGUGGAAUUCCGAGUGUAGAGGUGAAAUUCGUAGAUAUUCGGAAGAACACCAGUGGCGAAGGCGACUCACUGGACAAGUAUUGAUGCUGAGGUACGAAAGCGUGGGGAGCAAACAGGAUUAGAUACCCUGGUAGUCCACGCCGUAAACGAUGAUAACUAGCUGUUCGGGCUCUACGAGCUUGAGUGGCGCAGCUAACGCAUUAAGUUAUCCGCCUGGGGAGUACGGUCGCAAGNUUAAAACCUAGAAAGUAGUAGACGNGNGAGAGCGACGACGACGACGACGGAGGAGAG